UACACUCCUACGGGAGGCAGCAGUGGGGAAUAUUGGACAAUGGGCGCAAGCCUGAUCCAGCCAUGCCGCGUGAGUGAUGAAGGCCCUAGGGUUGUAAAGCUCUUUCACCGGUGAAGAUAAUGACGGUAACCGGAGAAGAAGCCCCGGCUAACUUCGUGCCGGCAGCCGCGGUAAUACGAAGGGGGCUAGCGUUGUUCGGAUUUACUGGGCGUAAAGCGCACGUAGGCGGACUAUUAAGUCAGGGGUGAAAUCCCGGGGCUCAACCCCGGAACUGCCUUUGAUACUGGUAGUCUUGAGUUCGAGAGAGGUGAGUGGAAUUCCGAGUGUAGAGGUGAAAUUCGUAGAUAUUCGGAGGAACACCAGUGGCGAAGGCGGCUCACUGGCUCGAUACUGACGCUGAGGUGCGAAAGCGUGGGGAGCAAACAGGAUUAGAAACCCGAGUAGUCCCAUG
rnacentral:rRNA from 1 species